GAUGAAGAACGUAGCGAAAUGCGAUACUUGGUGUGAAUUGCAGAAUCCCGUGAACCAUCGAGUCUUUGAACGCAAGUUGCGCCCGAAGCCGUCAGGCCGAGGGCACGCCUGCCUGGGCGUCACACGCCGUUGCCUCCCCGCGCCCCGCACCCAACUCUUUGGGAGCGACCGCGGGGCGGGCUGAUGAUGGCCUCCCGUGCGCUCCGCCGCGCGGUUGGCCCAAAUACCGAGUCCCCGGCGACGUGCGCCACGACGAUCGGUGGUUGAGAGACCUCUGUCGCAAGUCGUGCGCGCCCGUCGCGUCACGCGGGCUCGCAUAGCGCCUCGCGCCGCACCCGGUGCGGAGCUUUCAACGCGACCCCAGGUCAGGCGGGGUUACCCGCUGAAUUUAAGCAUAUCAAUAAGCGGAGGA
rnacentral:misc_RNA from 1 species